GAUGAAGAACGUAGUGAAAUGCGAUAAGUAAUGUGAAUUGCAGAAUUCAGUGAAUCAUCGAAUCUUUGAACGCACAUUGCGCCCGCCAGUAUUCUGGCGGGCAUGCCUGUCCGAGCGUCAUUUCAACCCUCGAACCCCUCCGGGGGGUCGGCGUUGGGGACCUCGGGAGCCCCUAAGACGGGAUCCCGGCCCCGAAAUACAGUGGCGGUCUCGCCGCAGCCUCUCCUGCGCAGUAGUUUGCACAACUCGCACCGGGAGCGCGGCGCGUCCACGUCCGUAAAACACCCAACUUCUGAAAUGUUGACCUCGGAUCAGGUAGGAAUACCCGCUGAACUUAAGCAUAUCAAUAAGCAGAGGA
rnacentral:misc_RNA from 1 species